AAUUAUAAAUAAUAAUAACAUCAAUGCUUCUCUCCUCAAGCUAUCUGUCCUUAUCUCCCUCUUAUCUUCACCAUUCUCAAGAAAUCCCCCCACCUCAUCUUUCCAUUCACAAAUCUCUCUCUCUUCAUCGAUGAAAUCACUUAGGGAAGCACCGAGCACAUCAUCGUAUUCGUCUACGUCUUCGUACUCGGGCACUGGAACUCUACUAAAGUCUAAAUCCAGUGACCCACAACUUCCUCAACUUCAUUAAUAGAAUUACUUGGGGACAGCACCGAAGCACACUUCGUCAACUGGAAGUCUCUGAUAUGAGGAAAACCUCAAAUCCCAAGUCCCAAAGUUUGUAGACCAAUAACAUGUCCAUGUGCUUUGGAUCAGUUCUAGUCUAUGGAGGUGGGAGCAUUGGGCUAGAUGUGAAUGUUCAACUUCUUGUGCAUACACCCUGACUUCCUCAUGAAGAAUCUUAUGCACGUAGCUUCUUUAGUUGGUUUAGUAAAACUCAACAGAAAGACAUUUGGAUGCUUCAUGAUGAGAAAACUGAAUGGCCUUUAUUGGACAGCAAGCAUGCUAUAGUUGGAGGUGGCUUUGGCCGGAACAUCUUAUUCAUUUUUGCAAAGAAUAGAUGCAAUAAUGGUAUGUGUUGGAUGAUUAGAGAAAUUUUAGCAGUACUUUGAAAUGUAUCGAGCUACCCCUCUAUCUAUAUAAAUUAUAAUGUAAAUGAAUUUAUAAUUUGACUUGGGUAAGGAUCCUUGAGUACUUUGUUGUUAUUUUCUAUGUACUCUUUGUAUUAUUAAGUAAAGGGAAUUAAAUCUUAGCUGAUCUACUAA